GAGGCUCAGAGAGGGUCUCGACCGCCGCUUAGGGGUAAGAGGCCGCUCGCCGUCGCGCCGGGAGGCGACGAAGGACGUCGUAGGUCUAGGGGCAGGGCGACGGAGUGGAGGCGUCGGAGCUACGUCGGACCUAGAGUGGAGGCAGGCAAGGCGGUGCGACCUAAGGGGAGGGGGAUCGACCGCUGAACGUACCUCAGUUACAAAUGGUAAAUAGUUCAAGACUAGAGUCGAAGUUAGGUAAUUAAACGAGUCGAGGGCAAUGAGCAAUUUAAUACCUAUAUUCAAGUAGACGAUCUAUUCGAGUUUCCUCUAUACCUUGGAGCCGUCACCUACUGGUGUUAGCAUGAUUGACUACUAAACCACCACCUCUAGAACAGAGCCGACGGUGACUUCAGAAAAACGGCAAAGUUUACACAGAGGUGCAGAACCGAACGGAAGAGUAGACUAGACGUGAUGGCGGUCUUCGAGGGUUCUUGAGGGCAGCCAGAGAACAUGGUUUUUUCUCUCGUACCGUGACGGUAGGUAGAACGCCCUGAAGGGAGUUCACUGUCCCUAUAACUGAGUUGUGAAUCGAAACACGUUACAAUACUCGCAGGGAACCUCGAAUUCGUAACGUCGUUGCCGGAUGAAGAAACAAUAGUACCACCAUACGGGAGCUUUCCUUAAAGGCUGCGGUAGCACACGUUAGGUCGUUGAGUUCUCACCUACAGUGAAGGUCUAUGACUUGGACCUGGUCGGCAGACAAUACGGUCAAUGUUCAACACAAAACUAGGUAACACCAGAGUUAUGAAAAUACAGAAGUUUAAACUCAGUUCAGGUUCACCACCUAAACUGUGACUUCAAUGCCAUAAGAAGAGACUCAUAAGCUGGACCAGAUUAACAGAUACCCUUUGGAGUCUAUAUAAAAAACCACUAAGUGAGAAACAUUUACCCCACAACAUACACCUCGUGAAUACCUCCGUAAUGGAAGACCGUGAGCUACGUGGACUAUGUACGUGUGUCGUCGAGUUAGUAUCCUGGUAAGUCAACGGUCCCAAAGGUAUACCUGGUCUCUCCAAAAUAACGAAACUGCCCGCAGAAACCGUCAGUAGACCCCAGAAUACGAUACGUGUUGUUCUUAACCUACCAACGUACUAGGCUUAAACCUCAAACCUUCCUAUACUAUCCACCCACCACUUCGUAGCAGAUUUAUACUUGUUACAUAAACCCUCCUUGUAUUACGAGGCAUGAUUGUUACUUCCUAAUACCAUGAAACUAAUACUUUAGGACCGUAAACUGGACCUCUCUCUCGAUCAAUAGGAACGACUGUGUUAACGACUAUUAUUCUAGUAGAGUAUAUCGUAGUCAUGACCUUUUCAGACGGUCUAAGAUUUGUAAGGUUCGAAGCAAUUGGAUAUAGCUUCAGAUGAGAUACACGGUAUGAUACCGUUCAAAGGUCGAACACACGAAGUUCGUCGAGUUCUGUUUACAAUCUUAUAAAUGGGAUACUUACUACAUUAGAGAUCCAUAGAAAACACGCGAUCGACACGGUUUGUCGACAAUACAUACAUGACUUAACAACCGAAGCAAUACACAACACAAGAAGAAGAUUAACCGUGAAGAGUAAAGAGAACUAUUUUCCUACACACUCCGUCACACUCGAAAGAUAUGUUACCGACCCUCUUGAGAACAUUAGAACGGUCCAAAGCCAGAGAACCGUAUCGUCGUCGGUCGAGAGUAUACAAUCCAACUAAAUGGUCUCCUCAAUUACAAAGUC
rnacentral:rRNA from 1 species